UACGUAGGGUGCGAGCGUUAAUCGGAAUUACUGGGCGUAAAGGGUGCGCAGGCGGUUGAGUAAGACAGAUGUGAAAUCCCCGAGCUUAACUCGGGAAUGGCAUAUGUGACUGCUCGACUAGAGUGUGUCAGAGGGAGGUGGAAUUCCACGUGUAGCAGUGAAAUGUGUAGAUAUGUGGAAGAACACCGAUGGCGAAGGCAGCCUCCUGGGACAUAACUGACGCUCAGGCACGAAAGCGUGGGGAGCAAACAGG
rnacentral:rRNA from 1 species